rnacentral:miRNA from 1 species
UAAUGCCCUUUGAAAUCCUGAA